CGACAGGUGCAAGAUCUGUGGGAGGAACUAGCCAAAAAUUUGAAUGCGCUGAACGGGCCCACACGUACCCCAAUUAAGUGGAAGGAGUCACUGGCAAACUGGAAAAAACCAUUGCGUAGUCGGGCGAGAAGGCUCAAAGCGGACCAAAUGGGCACAGGAGGCGGGCCAAAGCCUGAUGAUUUGGGAGAUUUUGACAGCCAAGCACUUGAGGCACUGGGAAUGAUGACAGUGGAUGGGAUUCCUGCUCAGUAGCUGGGAUUCCAGGCAAGAAUAGAUCCCAUUUUUAAUUAUUGGAUACUGUAUGCUCCACUGCACAUGACGUAGUCCCAACUUUGUGCAAGUUACGGAUACUGUAUGCUCCACUGAACAUGAGGAAGUCUCAGCUUUGCAAGUUACGGUAGAAGAACCCUGCAGUCCACCCAUCAGCAAUAGUCCUCCCUGCAGAACCAAUAUUUUUUCUCGCAGCGAUAUUUCUCCUUCCAACUUACCCAUUGAGGCAACACCAUCCAGAACAAACAACAAAAGAGGAGGAUCACAGGAACUCGCUGAUGUUGUGUUAAAACAUAUUAGAAAGCGAGAAGAGUACGAUGACCGUAUGCUUGAGCAGCAACCAAGAACUAAUGAUGCUCUAGCUAAA